rnacentral:lncRNA from 1 species
AGAGCCCAGCAAGGAGGGCUGGGAUUCACACUGAGCACGUGUGUCUCCCUCGGCUUGGGCUAUUUUCUAGGAUGGACUACCUGAAAUUCAUCACGUCCACAUCCAUAUGUGUGAAACUGCAUGAGGAGGACAUGGAAUGAUGCCACAUAUCUUGCUACAAAUAUGUAUAAACAGUUGCUAACCCACAGACUCCAAAAGCAAUAUCACCUGCGGAAGAGGAUUUCAUCCACAAGCCUGGGACACACAUCAACCUGAAUGCCCCACCCCUUUUCUAUAAAAGUCCCUAGCUUCCAAGCCUCGGGGUCGAAACCACUGUCUCCUGUGUGAGAUUCGUUUUGAACCGGAGCUCCGCCAUUAUGGCUCCACCAUGUGGUCGACACCUCUGUCUCCUGUGGGAGAUACAUGUCGGCCCGGAGCUCCAUCAUUAAACUACCUCAUGCUUUUACAUCAAG